GGAUUGCCUCAGUAACGGCGAGUGAAGCGGCAAGAGCUCAAAUUUGAAAGCUGGCCCCUUCGGGGUCCGCGUUGUAAUUUGCAGAGGAUGCUUCGGGUGCAGCCCCCGUCUAAGUGCCCUGGAACGGGCCGUCAUAGAGGGUGAGAAUCCCGUCUGGGACGGGGUGUCUGCGUCCGUGUGAAGCUCCUUCGACGAGUCGAGUUGUUUGGGAAUGCAGCUCUAAAUGGGUGGUAAAUUUCAUCUAAAGCUAAAUACUGGCCGGAGACCGAUAGCGCACAAGUAGAGUGAUCGAAAGAUGAAAAGCACUUUGAAAAGAGAGUUAAACAGCACGUGAAAUUGUUGAAAGGGAAGCGUUUGCGACCAGACUCGCCCGCGGGGUUCAGCCGGCAUUCGUGCCGGUGUACUUCCCCGUGGGCGGGCCAGCGUCGGUUUGGGCGGCCGGUCAAAGGCCCUCGGAAUGUAUCACCUCUCGGGGUGUCUUAUAGCCGAGGGUGCAAUGCGGCCUGCCUGGACCGAGGAACGCGCUUCGGCUCGGACGCUGGCGUAAUGGUCGUAAAUGACCCGUCUUGAAACACGGACCAAGGAGUCUAACAUCUACGCGAGUGUUCGGGUGUCAAACCCGUACGCGCAGUGAAAGCGAACGGAGGUGGGAGCCCCCUCGCGGGGCGCACCAUCGACCGAUCCUGAUGUCUUCGGAUGGAUUUGAGUACGAGCGUAGCUGUGGGGACCCGAAAGAUGGUGAACUAUGCCUGAAUAGGGCGAAGCCAGAGGAAACUCUGGUGGAGGCUCGCAGCGGUUCUGACGUGCAAAUCGAUCGUCAAAUUUGGGUAUAGGGGCGAAAGACUAAUCGAACCAUCUAGUAGCUGGUUCCUGCCGAAGUUUCCCUCA
rnacentral:rRNA from 1 species